CAAAAAAAAGGUCAAAACGGAAACUUAUUGUACAACUUCUCACGUCUCCCUCCUCCUGAACAACUUCUACCAUCCUCUCCCGCCCAGGUUCGCGAAAAUAAAUCAAAUAAAAGUUUCUCACGCUCUACUGAUUCGCCCAUCCUCACAGUAGCAUUGUGCGCGCUCAAGGGAAGGUUGUGCCCACCUCUAAGGGUCAAGCUCUUGCUGAUGAGUAAAGCGUCAAGCUUUUGAAACUGUAAAUGGCAACAAGCUGUCAAGAAGUGGAGGAGGUUUUCUUCUCAAUAGCAAGGGAUAUUAAGCGCAGGCUCGCAGAGACUGAUUCAACACCCACAGGUGCCUAGCAGAGAUCGCCCGUAUAUGUUUCCAUCACUUGGAUGGUUUUUGGUUGUCUCACUGGAAUUUGUAUUGAACAAUAAAAAGUUUGUUAUUUGAUGUGUUUUUAGAAUUGAAACUUUUAUUGAACUGUUAUUUAAGCAUGAUGGGUUGUGAGGAAACAAUUUUUGAAAGUCUGUUGUAACAUGAACAGCUGGUUUGCUUGCGCUACAAAGGUGAAUUACAAAAGUACAAUGAUUGUCUAAAA